rnacentral:rRNA from 1 species
UACGAAGGGGGCUAGCGUUGCUCGGAAUCACUGGGCGUAAAGGGUGCGUAGGCGGGGCUUUAAGUCAGGGGUGAAAUCCUGGAGCUCAACUCCAGAACUGCCUUUGAUACUGAGGAUCUUGAGUUCGGGAGAGGUGAGUGGAACUGCGAGUGUAGAGGUGAAAUUCGUAGAUAUUCGGAAGAACACCAGUGGCGAAGGCGACUCGCUGGACAGACAUUGACGCUGAGGUGCGAAAGCGUGGGGAGCAAACAGG